rnacentral:rRNA from 1 species
UAAGUAGAUAGUGAAAGCGUGUGGCUCAACCAUACAUCCAUUAUCUAAACUGCUAAGCUAGAAGACGAGAGAGGUAGAUGGAAUUCCUGAUGUAGGGGUAAUAUCCGUAGAUAUCAGGAGGAACACCGAUGGCGUAAGCAGUCUACUGGCUCGUUCUUGACACUAAGGCACGAAAGCGUGGGAGCAAACAGGAUUAGAUACCCUGGUAGUCCACGCCGUAAACUAUGGAUGCUA